AUGGGUCGCUACCUGAGCACAAAAUUGUGUUCAUGUUGUGUGAACAGGACAUUGAAAUCAUACAGCAAAUAUAAAUACACAAUGAACCUUCUCAGAAAGGACCAUGGUCUGACUAAAGCACCACUCUGCCUUGACCUACAUAGAUAUUUACAGCUGUCACCUCCUCAACCUUCCAGGUUUGCAACAAAAGCCACUUUUAAAAAAGUAAAGCACAGCGAUACAAGCUCUACCUUUUAUAGCCUCCUUAGAGACUUUACAGAAGAGGCGAGACAUCCUCAGGCUCUGCGUUUUUAUUCAUCUUCUAAUAAGGAUGUCUUCAAAGCCAAAGCUCCAGUUGGGAUUUUUGACGAGGCUCAGAACAAUUCUCUUUUAAGUUCGGUUGGAGGGUGUCUUGGUCAAUCAUUUAAUCAAUUGUCCAGACACAUUAACAUUUAUUUCAAAAGAAAGGAAGUUUUAAGUCUGUCUGAAAAUGCCAGUGUUGUUGUGUCUACUCCAGAGUAUGCUUGCAGGUCACAGAGGAUUAGUCAAAGUCAGCUAGCAGCCACAGAGGAAAAACCUGAAAGCAAAGACACAACACAGACCUUGAAAUGUAAGGACAAACAGUGGGACUCUGUAACAAGUCAUUCAACUCAAGAAACAUCUGGACUGCAGUUAUUUCACAUCAGCUCUCUCACGACAAGAUUUGGUGAGGGUUACAAUUACGUUGCUCAUCACAUUAACACAGUUUUCUCUCAGGGUUUGGCAAAAGUUCAAAAACAGGAGAAUUUGGAGCCUCCUACCAAAGAGACAAAAAGAAGGGAGAAGAGACGAAAAAUACAAAUCAGAGGUAAACAGUCUCAAGUAAAGGCAGUACUGGAACCCAACAGUAACUCCAGUACCUGGGAGGAAGGAUACCUUCACUUUGCAAGGCACAUUAAUAAAUACUUUGGUGCCAAAGUAACAGAUGAAGCUCAGAAUAGGAAAGAACAACUUCUCAUAGAGAAGGAUUGGACUUACAAGAAACACCUUUUAACACAAUCUACCUCACAAACUCACAGUGCCAGUUCACAGCUGAAGCAAGAAGAAUCUAUCAUCCCAGGAGCUGCAGGCAGUUUCCACAGCAGCUGUAAUACAGCUAAAAUCAGUGAGAACUAUUUUCAAACAUCCCAACACAUCAAUCAGUAUUUCAAGGGUCAAAGUGGAUUGAAUGAGGACACUGAAUCCCAAAAGUCCCCCAAGAGACUGAAGAGUGUAUCUUUUAUGGAUUACCUUUGCAACCCCACAAGUACCAUUCCAGAACUGCUGGGUGUUUAUCGAAACAGCAACUCCAAAACUGCCAUCUCUGCCCCGCAGGCAGUAUUAAAUAAAAAGGUGAGUUAA
rnacentral:lncRNA from 1 species